UGGGGAAUAUUGGACAAUGGGCGCAAGCCUGAUCCAGCCAUGCCGCGUGAGUGAUGAAGGCCUUAGGGUUGUAAAGCUCUUUUAUCCGGGACGAUAAUGACGGUACCGGAGGAAUAAGCCCCGGCUAACUUCGUGCCAGCAGCCGCGGUAAUACGAAGGGGGCUAGCGUUGCUCGGAAUCACUGGGCGUAAAGGGCGCGUAGGCGGCGUUUUAAGUCGGGGGUGAAAGCCUGUGGCUCAACCACAGAAUGGCCUUCGAUACUGGGGCGCUUGAGUAUGGUAGAGGUUGGUGGAACUGCGAGUGUAGAGGUGAAAUUCGUAGAUAUUCGCAAGAACACCGGUGGCGAAGGCGGCCAACUGGACCAUUACUGACGCUGAGGCGCGAAAGCGUGGGGAGCAAACAGG
rnacentral:rRNA from 1 species